GGUCAAUGUAAGUCAUGGUUUUGAAAAGCACACAGGUUUUCAUGUUAGCAGCAGACCUUUCCUUCAUAAUCUAUAAUCAAUCCAGCUACUGAUUGUUAAAAUAGAGAGCCUGAAAAUAUAAUUAUCCACAAAUAUAAUACAAAUACUGUAUUUGUUCAGAUGGUGCACAACUUCACAGAGGAGACCAGCUUCAUAAUCAGCACUUUGAAAGAUGAAAGUAAUGAUGGUUACCAUGUUGUACUGAAGUGACCAGCUACUAGAAAAUUAUGAAUCCUAUUAGCUUAUUUUAACAGACUGUGUGAUUUUAAGUUAUAUAUCACCCGCAAGAAUGUGAUGUGAAUAAACAGAGAAGAGCUUUGUAUAA